rnacentral:lncRNA from 10 species
UUUCCCAGGACUGCCGCACAAAUCGCCACUAACUGAGUGUCUUAAAACAACAGAAAUUUAUGCUCUCCCAGUUCUGGAGGCCAGAAGUCUGAGAUCAAGGUGUGGGCAGGGCUGCACUCUCUCUGGAGGCUCUAGGGGAGGGUCCUUCCUGCCUCUCCCAGCUCCUGGGGGCUCCAGGCAUUCCUGAGCUUGUGGCCGCAUCACUCCAGUCUCUGCCUCUGUCUCCACGUGGCCUUCUCCUUUGUGUGUGUACCAUCUCCUCUUCCGUCUCUUAGAAGGACACCUGUAAUUGCAUUUACGGUUGACUCUACUCCAGGAUGAUCUCAUCUCAAGAUCCUUAACUAAAUGUUUUUACAUCCUCUUUCCCAGAAGCUAUGAAAAUUUUACCUUAUAGGGCAAUAGGGGAAUCAAAGUUGGAGGGAAAAUGAAGUUUGCCCAUCAGCUGAUCCUAAAAUGAGGAGAUUAUUCUGGGUUAUCCAAGUGGACCCCAUGUAAUUGCAAGGGCUCUUAAAAGUAGAAGAGGGAGGAAGAAAUGGAGGUUAGAAUGAUGAGAUGUGAGACGGUCUCUGCUGGUUGUUGCUGGUUUUGAAGAUGAAGGAAGAAACCACAUGCCGAGGAAUGCAGGCAGCCUCUGGGAGGUAAAAAUUGCAAGGAAAUGGAUUCUUUCCUGCAUCCUCCAGAAGGAACCAACCUGGCCGACACUUUGAUUUUAGCCCCAGGAGACUCAUUUAGGACUUCUGAUUUCUAGAACUGCAGACGAAUAAAUGUGUGUUGUUUUCACCCAGCAUUUUUGGUAUUUGUUUUAGCAGCCACAGGAAACUCAUACAGAGCUCUUGCACAGGGUCUACCAUCUGUUCUUAUAAUUGAUGCGUGAUUUGUGAGCUGACUCCCUGGACAGGCAUGUGGUUGCUGAAGGGAAGAUUUGACACUUCUUAAAUUACCAAAUCCACUACUCCUCUGGUAAGGAACUAGAGGAAAGAAGCAAGAACCAACACAUGAAGGAAUUCUCGAGAUGGAAAACCCAGGGAUGAAGUUCUGGGAUGCCGGCACCUUCUUCCCUUAGCAUGUGGACUCCCACGUUUAACAAAAGCUGCUGACCAGGAGCGGUGACUCACGCCUGUCAUCCCAGCACUUCAGGAAGCCAACACAGGCAGAUCAGUUGAGGUCAGGAGUUCGAGACCAGCCUGGCCAACAUGGCGAAAUUCCAUCUCUACUAAAAAUACAAAAAUUAGCCAGGCAUGGUGGCACAUGCCUAUAAUCCCAGCUAGUCAGGAGGCUGAGGCAGAAGAAUUGCUUGAACCCAAGAGGUGGCGGUUGCAGUGAGCCCAGAUCGUGCCACUGCACUCCAGCCUGGACAGAGCCAGACUCCAUCUCAAAAAAAAAAAAAAAGACAAAAGCUGCUGACUCUUCAGCCACCCCAUCUGUAUUCCAGACAUAAAUCAGGAGAACAGGAGGAAGGAAGAAAAACAAACAAAACAAGACCCCCUCCAGGAGCUCCCAGCACCACUGAACUUACAAAGUGUCAAUUGGAAGAAUCUUUAGAAAAGAAUAGAUUUUUCUGUUGAGCAUAUUGCAUAGUGUGUGGGUAUGUGAGUGUUUUUCCCCUACAGCUGCUGUAACCAAUUACCACACAUUUAGUGGAUUAUAACAACACAAAUGUAUUAUCUUAUAGUUCUGGAGCUCAGAAGUCCAAAAUUAAGGUGCUGGCAAGACUGUGUUCCUUCUGGAGGCUCUUGGGUGAAAUCCGUGGUCCCUUUCUGUAUGUUCAAAGCCAGCUGCCUAGUGUCUUCCAAUCUUUCUCUUUCUGACCCUCCUCCUUCCCUCUUCUACGGACCCUGUGAUUACAUCAGGGUGCACCUGGACAACCCAGGCUCAUCUCCCCAUCUCAGGAUGUUUAACUUAAUUAUAAGCUUGCUGCAAAAGUAAUUGCAGUUUUUGCCGUUAAUAUUAGGUUGGUGCCAAAGUAAUCGUGGUUUUUGCCAUUAUUUUUGCACCAACCUAAUACAUCUGCAAAGUCAUUUGUUUCCACAUGAAAUAACAUAUUGAUGGGCUCCAGGGAUUAGGAUGUGGACAUCUCUGGGCACCUGUAUGCAGCCUGUUACACUCAGUGAAGAAGUAAGGGAAAAUGAGUGUCACGUAGGUAUCUGACUAUCUCAGCCACAGUGAAAGGGGAAAAGUUCCCUCAUCUCCCUCACAGGACGUGCGAUGGGGGUGUGGCUCACUCCUUCAGUGCCCCACUGCGCAAACCCCUCGGAGGUGCAGGCAGACCGGGAGGUUGUGGGGCUCCGACCCCUCGGCAGCAUCUAGGGGUGAAUGUUUAUAGCUCCUGAAGCCCCAGUGGGCGUGUGUUACAGAGUGCUCUUUUAGUUUAGCCACCCAUAAGCGGCUUGUGUUACUCAGCUCAAUUAGACCCCCUACCUUAUCACAAAGAUGGAGGGCUUUCUGUAUCCCUGGUUUCUUGUCUUUGUGUACCGGAAGAAUCAGAUCACACAUGGGCUUGGAGAAUGAGUACAAGGUUUUAUUGAGUGGAGGUAGCUCUCAGCAGAUGGGGGAGCCAGAAGGGAGAUGGUUUUCCCCUGGAGUUGCCGGCCGCUCAGCAAUCCAGGCUUUCCUCUGACCUUCCCCGCCAAAAUCCGUGUAGUUCUGCUGGUCAAUGGCCCGCCGGCCCGCUGCCGUCCGCCGCUGCACUCUUCCGCUGGCGUGCUCCCCUCCAGGUCCGGCUGCUUGUGUCUUCUUCUGCUGAUGUGUUCCUCUCAAUGUCCAGGCACUUGUGUGUCUGCCUGCUAGGUCUCGAGGUUUUUAUAAGCACAGAUUGGGGGCAUAGCAGGCCAGAGUGGUCUUGGGAAAUGCAACAUUUGGGCAGGAAAACAGGAGUGCCUGUCCUCACUUAGGUCCGUGGGCACAGGCCCACAGGUGGAGCCCUAGCCAGGGACCACACCCUCCUCUACCCAGCACUUCCCUGCCCCCCUUCCAUAUGAAUAGUGCUGUAAAUGAAAAAGUAGAUGACUGAUUUUUAUGUAGAUUCAUGGAGCUACAAGUACACUCAGCCUAGACCUAUCUGUAAUCUCUUUGUGCAUACCAAAUUUUAUGGUAGAUCUUAACAUGUAAGCACUUUCGUUGGUUUGUUUUUGAGACAGAAUCUCGCUCUGUCGCCCAGGCUGCAGUGCGGUGG